GGUCCCAUCGUCUAGUCCGGUCUAGGACGUGGCCCUCUCAAGGCUAAAACACGGGUUCGAAUCCCGUUGGGACCGCCA
rnacentral:tRNA from 1 species